UGGCUCAGAUUGAACGCUGGCGGCAGGCCUAACACAUGCAAGUCGAGCGGAUGAAGGGAGCUUGCUCCUGGAUUCAGCGGCGGACGGGUGAGUAAUGCCUAGGAAUCUGCCUGGUAGUGGGGGAUAACGUCCGGAAACGGGCGCUAAUACCGCAUACGUCCUGAGGGAGAAAGUGGGGGAUCUUCGGACCUCACGCUAUCAGAUGAGCCUAGGUCGGAUUAGCUAGUUGGUGGGGUAAAGGCCUACCAAGGCGACGAUCCGUAACUGGUCUGAGAGGAUGAUCAGUCACACUGGAACUGAGACACGGUCCAGACUCCUACGGGAGGCAGCAGUGGGGAAUAUUGGACAAUGGGCGAAAGCCUGAUCCAGCCAUGCCGCGUGUGUGAAGAAGGUCUUCGGAUUGUAAAGCACUUUAAGUUGGGAGGAAGGGCAGUAAGUUAAUACCUUGCUGUUUUGACGUUACCAACAGAAUAAGCACCGGCUAACUUCGUGCCAGCAGCCGCGGUAAUACGAAGGGUGCAAGCGUUAAUCGGAAUUACUGGGCGUAAAGCGCGCGUAGGUGGUUCAGCAAGUUGGAUGUGAAAUCCCCGGGCUCAACCUGGGAACUGCAUCCAAAACUACUGAGCUAGAGUACGGUAGAGGGUGGUGGAAUUUCCUGUGUAGCGGUGAAAUGCGUAGAUAUAGGAAGGAACACCAGUGGCGAAGGCGACCACCUGGACUGAUACUGACACUGAGGUGCGAAAGCGUGGGGAGCAAACAGGAUUAGAUACCCUGGUAGUCCACGCCGUAAACGAUGUCGACUAGCCGUUGGGAUCCUUGAGAUCUUAGUGGCGCAGCUAACGCGAUAAGUCGACCGCAUGGUAA
rnacentral:rRNA from 1 species